rnacentral:tRNA from 1 species
AAGAUUUUAAGUUAAUUAAACUUUUAACGUUCAAAGUUAAAUUUAUAAAUUAAUCUUAAUUUAUAAAUCUUA